rnacentral:rRNA from 1 species
AUCCUUAAUACUAUCGGGCCAAGAAAAGUUUCUAAGUUUAGUAAUAAUUGCCCGUACCGUAAACCGCCCCAGCUGGGAGGGAUGAGCAUUCUAAGACGCGUGAAAGAACUCUCUUUAAGGAACUCUGCAAAAUAGCACCGUAUCUUCGGUAUAAGGUGUGCCUAACUUUGUAUUAAGAUUUACUCCCAAAGCAAAGAAGGAUACAACAAAGAGUCCCUCCCGACUGUUUACCAUAAACACAGCACUCUGCUAACACGUAAGUGGAUGAAUAGGGUGUGACGCCUGCCCGGUGCUCGAAGGUUAAUUGAUGAUGUUAGCUAUGCGAAGCAUUUGAUCGAAGCCCGAGUAAACGGUUGCCGUAACUAUAACGGUCCUAAGGCAGC